UGUAGUUUGCGGUGGGCUUUUAGUGGGUCGCGCAGCCGCAGGCUGAUUGUGGUAGUUGCUGCAGUGGGUCUGUCCGAGAUUUGAGCGACUGGUUAGUUCUCCUUGGAGAGUGUCUGCCGGUGAAUGUGGUGGAACGCAACUGAGCCCACCCGACCUCAGUUCCGGUACGGAUGGCCCGCGCCGGGAGAGCAGGGCGGCUAAGUCCGGUUUGUAUUGUUCAGCUAGUCUUGGGUUUGGAUCCUGCUGUGGUGUGUGGUCACUCUACCGGGGCACCAACCUACCUCAUCAUUAAAAACAAGAGCCUGGCGAUGGUGGCACACCUCUUUAACCCCAGCACUUGGGAGGCAGAGGCAGCCGGAUCUCUGAGUUUGAGGAUAGCCUGGUCUACAGAGCAAGUUCCAGGACCGUCAAGGCUACAAGCAACAAGAAGACAAAAACCCAGCUCUCCCUCUUCUGAGAGCUGUCAGAUACUAGUAGCUUCUCAGACACUGUCAACCAACUCUCCGAUAGGAUGGUGUGUGGCUGGGGCCUGUGCAGACCUGUGCAUGCUGACAAAAUUGCUAUGAGUUCAUAUACACAUCUGCUCUAGUUUGUCUGGAAAACAGUUUGCAUGGAGUUAUCCACCACCUCUGCCUCUUACAGUCUUUCUACUCCCUCUUCUACAACCACUCCUAAAUAUCUGAUUCAGGGGUGAACACUUGGAAUAUAACAAAAAUAAAUAAAAAAUGACAUAGCUGUGA